rnacentral:rRNA from 1 species
GACGAACGCUGGCGGCGUGCUUAACACAUGCAAGUCGAACGAUGAACUCCAGCUUGCUGGGGGGAUUAGUGGCGAACGGGUGAGUAACACGUGAGUAACCUGCCCUUGACUCUGGGAUAAGCGCUGGAAACGGCGUCUAAUACCGGAUACGAGCUUCAGCCGCAUGGCUAGGAGUUGGAAAGAAUUUCGGUCAAGGAUGGACUCGCGGCCUAUCAGCUAGUUGGUGAGGUAAUGGCUCACCAAGGCGACGACGGGUAGCCGGCCUGAGAGGGUGACCGGCCACACUGGGACUGAGACACGGCCCAGACUCCUACGGGAGGCAGCAGUGGGGAAUAUUGCACAAUGGGCGAAAGCCUGAUGCAGCAACGCCGCGUGAGGGAUGACGGCCUUCGGGUUGUAAACCUCUUUUAGUAGGGAAGAAGCGAAAGUGACGGUACCUGCAGAAAAAGCACCGGCUAACUACGUGCCAGCAGCCGCGGUAAUACGUAGGGUGCAAGCGUUGUCCGGAAUUAUUGGGCGUAAAGAGCUCGUAGGCGGUUUGUCGCGUCUGCUGUGAAAUCUGGGGGCUCAACCCCCAGCCUGCAGUGGGUACGGGCAGACUAGAGUGCGGUAGGGGAGAUUGGAAUUCCUGGUGUAGCGGUGGAAUGCGCAGAUAUCAGGAGGAACACCGAUGGCGAAGGCAGAUCUCUGGGCCGUAACUGACGCUGAGGAGCGAAAGCGUGGGGAGCGAACAGGAUUAGAUACCCUGGUAGUCCACGCCGUAAACGUUGGGAACUAGAUGUGGGGACCAUUCCACGGUCUCCGUGUCGCAGCUAACGCAUUAAGUUCCCCGCCUGGGGAGUACGGCCGCAAGGCUAAAACUCAAAGGAAUUGACGGGGGCCCGCACAAGCGGCGGAGCAUGCGGAUUAAUUCGAUGCAACGCGAAGAACCUUACCAAGGCUUGACAUAUACCGGAAACGGCCAGAGAUGGUCGCCCCGCAAGGUCGGUAUACAGGUGGUGCAUGGUUGUCGUCAGCUCGUGUCGUGAGAUGUUGGGUUAAGUCCCGCAACGAGCGCAACCCUCGUUCUAUGUUGCCAGCACGUUAUGGUGGGAACUCAUAGGAGACUGCCGGGGUCAACUCGGAGGAAGGUGGGGAUGACGUCAAAUCAUCAUGCCCCUUAUGUCUUGGGCUUCACGCAUGCUACAAUGGCCGGUACAAAGGGCUGCGAUACCGUAAGGUGGAGCGAAUCCCAAAAAGCCGGUCUCAGUUCGGAUUGGGGUCUGCAACUCGACCCCAUGAAGUCGGAGUCGCUAGUAAUCGCAGAUCAGCAACGCUGCGGUGAAUACGUUCCCGGGCCU